GGAAAAAACAAGAGUGAAACAGGGCUGCUAACUUUGUUUUGGGUUGUCAGAUAUCCUUUUUCUU
rnacentral:tRNA from 1 species